AUGGAGGUGGCAGGCACCAGCCACGUGUUGGGGACAGCCGGGUGUCACCCCGUGGGGGGGGGCAGGCUCUGUACGUACGUCCCGGUAGCCCUGGUGGGCAUUGCCCCAGAUGUCCCCCUCGAUGUCCUUGCAGCCGGCAGGGCAGUACACGCUGCAAUGUGGGGGUGGGGGGUCAGGGCUGCCACCCCCCGUACGCCCCAGGGUGGUUUUGUGCCCCAAAACGUGUCCUCCCCCCGGCAGAGGAGCUGGGGCUGCACCUCAAGGACCCCCCCCAGCAAGCCCAGCCUCAGCCCCAAGAGAGGGUUGGGGACAAGGGGCGCUGCUGGGGACGGGGUGGGGGGCACCAAGGGGGCCGGGCACGCACCUGGUGUGCUCCUGGGCCAGGUGGGUGCCUCUCUUCAAGCAGGAGACCACGUCUGCAAGGCAGGGACACCGCGGGGUGAGGGGCUGCGUGGGAACCCCCCCCGGCACCCGGAGCACCCCAUCCCCUUCCCAAAUCCUGCUCCUGUUGUAGGUUUUUGUCCCCCACACCCGGGCACCCACCUCAGGGGGAUGGGGAGCGACAUCUCCUUACUUGACUGGGGUCCCAGCUGCCCUGGGGGGUCCCAAAUCUGGGGGUCCCCAACUCAGCCCGCCACCCCCCAUCACCUCCCCUCCACCCCCAGCCUCCACUGUGCCCCCAGACAGGGGAAAAAACCACCUCAGGAUCCCGGGGGGGCAUUAUUUAGGGGGCUCGAAGCAACAGGAGCCACCCUGGGGUGGGCGAGGAGCUCCCCACACCCCCAGAGGAUCAUCCCCCCCCCCACCUGGGUGCUGCGAGCUGGCGUAGGACAGGAGGAGACCUCGGCCCGAGCGGUGGCUGCUGCUGCUGAACAGGACGGUCACGGAGCUCCAGUUGGUCACCAGGGGCGAGGCAGCGGGGCCGGCGUCCCUGCAGUAGGGCCCUGCAAAAGGGAUGGGGCCGUGGGGGCGAUCAGGGACCCCCAGGGGGGUAGGGACAGCGCCCGGACCUGGGGCUUCACCUCCCCGGGGGGCUCGGGCAGGGGGCUGUGCCCCGGGCAGGAUGCUCGGGGUGGCACUGUCCCCAUCCCCACAGCCAUAGGGCGCACAGGGAGGGGGACAGAAAGCCCCUGGCUUGGGAUCAGACUGGACCAGGGCCCCCCCCCCCCGUGGUGA
rnacentral:lncRNA from 1 species